UAAUACCAGCACCCCGAGUGGUCGGGACGGUUUAGUUGGGCCUAAAGCAUCCGUAGCCGGUUCUGCAAGUCUUCCGUUAAAUCCACCUGCUUAACAGAUGGGCUGCGGAAGAUACUAUAGAGCUAGGAGGCGGGAGGGGCAAGCGGUACUCGAUGGGUAGGGGUAAAAUCCGUUGAUCCAUUGAAGACCACCAGUGGCGAAGGCGG
rnacentral:rRNA from 1 species